AGCGAACGCUGGCGGCAGGCCUAACACAUGCAAGUCGAGCGCCCCGCAAGGGGAGCGGCAGACGGGAGAGUAACACGUGGGAACGUACCCUUCAGUACGGAACAACCAAGGGAAACUUUGGCUAAUACCGUAUACGUCCGUAAGGAGAAAGAUUUAUCGCUGAAGGAUCGGCCCGCGUCUGAUUAGCUAGUUGGUGAGGUAACGGCUCACCAAGGCUACGAUCAGUAGCUGGUCUGAGAGGAUGAUCAGCCUCACUGGGACUGAGACACGGCCCAGACUCCUACGGGAGGCAGCAGUGGGGAAUAUUGGACAAUGGGCGCAAGCCUGAUCCAGCCAUGCCGCGUGGGUGAUGAAGGCCCUAGGGUUGUAAAGCCCUUUCGGCGGGGAAGAUAAUGACGGUACCCGCAGAAGAAGCCCCGGCUAACUUCGUGCCAGCCGCCGCGGUAAAAC
rnacentral:rRNA from 1 species